UCAAUGGCUGUUUUCACAGCCAUCUCCUACUAGCAAAGUAUAAUAUU
rfam:Mus musculus chromosome 6, GRC primary reference assembly.